rnacentral:rRNA from 1 species
CCUACGGGAGGCAGCAGUGGGGGAUAUUGCACAAUGGGGGAAACCCUGAUGCAGCGACGCCGCGUGGGUGAAGAAGCGCCUCGGCGCGUAAAGCCCUGUCAGCAGGGAAGAAAAUGACGGUACCUGAAGAAGAAGCCCCGGCUAACUACGUGCCAGCAGCCGUGGUAAUACGCAGGGGGCAAGCGUUAUCCGGAUUUACUGGGUGUAAAGGGGGCGCAGACGGCGGUGCAAGCCAGGAGUGAAAGCCCGGGGCCCAACCCCGGGACUGCUCUUGGAACUGCGUGGCUAGAGUGCAGGAGGGGCAGGCGGAAUUCCUGGUGUAGCGGUGAAAUGCGUAGAUAUCAGGAGGAACACCGGUGGCGAAGGCGGCCUGCUGGACUGCAACUGACGUUGAGGCCCGAAAGCGUGGGGAGCAAACAGGAUUAGAUACCCGAGUAGUC